AUAAAAAAAAAAGAAUCCCGUAAAUAGGUCAAUAGGAGAUGUAGAUAUGAAAUUAUUUGUGGCCUAUUUACAGCAUUUCAAUUCGAAACCUCUCAGCGGGUUCAAUUGUAUAAUCGUCUGGUGUCUAAACUUUAAGGUCAACGGCUUUAUCAGAAGAGGAGCCCAUUACAAUUUAAGGCUACUGAGUAGUUAAAAGAUGCAACGUCAACACGGUUGCAUCUGCUGUCACGCCAACUGUCCGUCAAAGGGACGCUUCCUGUCUUCGAGUGAUUUGGCGAACAUUGUCACACGUAAGCCACACCCCGGAUGCAUACAGAUGGGAGGUCCCCAGGUAAUGCUAACACGUUUGUUUCUACGUUGAUAGCAGAAUGGCAGGGCUCAUGAACGUGAGGUUAUCAGCCUGUAGCUAUAGAGGAUAUCAGUCUGCCUAUGUCACUUAAUUGGCUACUAUUCUUUUCCCCUUCAUCUUCUUUCCAAAUGGCAACAUAAUCUUAAUGGGUGGUAAGUGACAGAUCCUGCAUGGUUUUGGAGAUUUAUUUCUGUCGAUAUGUAUGUUCUUUACGAGCCCACAGUCCAUCCAAAACAUUAUGGUCUUUGCUGAGAUAUAAACACAAUGUUACGUUUAUUAACAAUAAAAUUCCACCAAAAUUUAAAAAAAAAUACUGAUCUAUAAAGAAUACGACACAGAGUGAAAAAAAAACCGGAAUACAUAUUUUCAUCUAAAAUGUAUUUUGUUGAUUUCUGCCCAGAUACAUUUAUUCCAGCAAACGUUUUCUCGUCCAGUUUUCCCUGCAUAAGAUCAGCUUUUUUCGUUUAGCAAAAGCGAUGGCCCGUGCUUCGGGAAGCAGACCAAAUCGCAGGGUGAGAUUGUGAGAAGAUGGAAACGUCUGGGAAGCACAGCGGCGUUUCUCUAGUCACCACAGGCUCCGUUUGACCUCCACUCGUGUGGCCUUGUCUUCUUUUUUUCUUUCGGGAAUAAAACGUGAACACGAGCAAAAUACAAAAACACACAACCUCUGAUAUGAAUCGCCCCCGACUGGGCAGCAACAGUUGUGCUCCAGACUCUGUAGACCAAGGGGUGUCCAAACUACGGCCCGCGGGCCAACUGCGGCCCGCCAUCCAUUUUGAAUUGGCCCGCAAUCAUUCAAAUAUUGUAACGGGCCGACACGUUCUGAGUCUAUAAGGUUAGUGAAGGGCUCACGGUGUGAUGUCAGUCGUCUUAGUGCAGCCUAUGGGAACGUGUCGUUGUGAUGUUUGGGGGUAAUAAAUACCUCUGAGUCUGUUUGGCUCAACGCACGUCUGUGAGCAGACGUUGUCUGUGUUAACGCGGGAAACAAAAGCAGACUGAGAACCAGAAAGACUUCUCCAUGACGUCCUUCGCACCUCAACCACCAAACUGCUGUCCUUUCGAACCCAAGCGCAGCGUCGCUGCUCCCUACGUUCUCCGUUUACAGGAGAGUUCAAAUAUACACUGUUUUAAUGUGGCAACAAGCCCAAUUAAUACAUUCAGUCAAUAAAGGCUCACUAGGAUUUUUUU